CGACGACGCCACGCCACUACCUGUCCCGCGCCACCGGCGUCGGUCGGUCGGUCGGUCGGCGGCGCAGGGCCACGAGCCACGCGCUUCGGCUGGAGCGGCUCGACUCGUCAGGGCUCGGCUGUUCUCGGCUCUGGACUAGACGCGACGGCGGCUGGAUCGAAAAAGGCUGCGUCCGAAUGCUUGCCGGGGCCGGGAAACUGUGGUGAUGGGAGCGCAGUCUGAACUGAACCGGCGGCACACUUUCGAAGGCGAAUGCGUGACAUAACGACAGUCCACAGGGGCGCGGCGACAAAGCAAUCAGGCAGCGAUUAAGAGCAGUUUACGUCCAGGCCGAGCUACGCCACUGGCACAGACCCCGGUCGAGACGGGAAAGGAAACGGGGAGGGGUCGUCUAAAUUACCCGGGCCGAUCGUGCGCCUCAGCGAGGGUGCGGGCGUAUGUCACUUCGGAGCCUCAUUGAUUAAAUCCGAGCCGGAGCUUCCACGCAUGAGCACCAGCUCCAGUCGAAUCAAUGCCGGCCGUCAUGACUGAACAGGAGAAAGGAGAAGUGGGAGGAAGAGAGGAAGUGGAGGGGACCAUGCACAAAUGAUGAAAUCACGGAGCAUGCAAGUUAAUCACCGCUAGGAAUUAAAGAAAUACUUGUGGAAAUAAAUCCUCCCUACCUUUGGUGGAUUAAUUAA